UACAGAGGGUGCGAGCGUUAAUCGGAAUUACUGGGCGUAAAGCGUGCGUAGACGGUUAUUUAAGUCGGGUGUGAAAGCCCCGGGCUCAACCUGGGAAUUGCAUUCGAGACUGAAUAGCUAGGGUACGGUAGAGGGAAGCGGAAUUUCCGGUGUAGCGGUGAAAUGCGUAGAUAUCGGAAGGAACAUCAGUGGCGAAGGCGGCAUCCUGGACCGGCAUUGACGCUGAGGCGCGAAAGCCAGGGGAGCAAAGCGGG
rnacentral:rRNA from 1 species